rnacentral:lncRNA from 1 species
GUCAAGAGUCAAGAAAUAAUAUCUUCAUUUAAGAAAAACUAAUUUUACAUGUUUCUCAACGUAGAAAUAAUUUCUUAAACCAAGAUAACUAUUCUUAAAACAAGAAAUAUAAUCUUGAUAUAAGAAUAAUUAUCUUAAAUUAGGAAAAAAAAUCUUGCCAAGUAUUUCAUUUUUUGCAGUGAAGUUGUUCCAACAAUUCUGAUAUUUUUUCUUAUUCUUAUAUUUUUUCUUAUUCUGAUAUCAAUCCCAGCAGUAAUAUUGUUUGACUUUCUCUAUUCAACAACUAAAUUGCAAGUGUUGUGAGAUUUUUACUUGGGCCUUAAAAUAUCGGUCGGUCACGGAUAUUGUUCCCCCGUUCGUGAAAUUGUCCGACGUAGAGAGGAAACCACUGGACAUUCUGUCCGACCUAAGUGAAACUGAGGUUCAUUGAAAUGGUAUCCGAAUUAUCUGUAACGUAAAUCAAAAUGUACCCUUAGUCCAGGACUAAAUGGAGAAUCAGAGUAAUGUAUAAAAAGUGAACUGAAAAUGUGUAAUCAAGUACUGGGGUUUUCACCGUGAGGUUCGGAAAUUUAUUGCUAAGAUUCAAAUGACUUUUCCAAAUACAAAUUCAUCAAUACAUAUGUCCGACCCAAACUUAAAGUAGUCGAACAUUUUGUCAGACGGUUCUCUGACCGAUAUUUUAAGGCUGGAAUUUACGUGUGUAUGUCAUAGAUAUAAUAUAUCUAUGGUGUAUGUACACAGUUACACAGGGCUGUGGGCGAAAAUUUAAACCGCCUCCAAUAAUGUACACUAUUAUGCGCUUGUUGAUAUUACGGAUUUUUGAAAGCCUUCUGGGAAGGCGUAACUGAAUAAUAAUGCUUGAUUGCAGUUUAAUAUAUUAAAGUUUAUAUUGCACGAACCAUUUGUGCCAUCCAG